rnacentral:rRNA from 1 species
CAGUCGCCGCGGGAAAACGGAGGGUGCAAGCGUUGUCCGGAUUUAUUGGGUUUAAAGGGUGCGUAGGCGGCUAUUUAAGUCAGCGGUGAAAGACUCCGGCUCAACCGGAGCAGUGCCAUUGAUACUGGAUAGCUUGAGUGUUGGAGGGGUACAUGGAAUUGAUGGUGUAGCGGUGAAAUGCAUAGAUACCAUCAGGAACACCGAUAGCGAAGGCAUUGUACUGGCCAACAACUGACGCUGAGGCACGAAAGCAUGGGGAGCGAACAGGAUUAGAUACCCCCGUAGUCCCUGUCUCUUAUAC